ensembl:lncRNA
UUCCUUUGCCAUUAAAAAGGCAAGGCAGCAAGUGCGCCUGCCUUGAGGAAAAACUGCUGUACAGCUCACUGCAUAAAUAUGCGUGUGCAUAUGUGGCAUAAUGGUCUGUGCAUAGGCAUGCACCUACAAAUAGGGAAGCAAACUCUUUGUUGCAAGAGCUGUGAACUUCCCUGAGUAAUUAACUGUGCUUUUAGUGCAUCUCCUUGGAUCUGCAGUGAGUAGCAGAGGCAAAGCCUCUUUUAAAUCUUCAAGUGUCAAACUCAGAGAUAGCAGCUAGCUAAGCUGAGGCACUAAGAGAAGCAGAAAUGUCACUGUAAUAGCUUGUGUCUCUUUGGUGCUGUUAAAAAAAAAAACAACUGUGCCAGUGGACAGAGUUAUCCACAGAGCAAAAAACUAAUUCUCAUGAGAUUAUUUGGCUUUGUGUACCCAAAGGCAUUUGAUGCAACUGUGUGUGUGGAUAGAUAGACACUGUUCUUCUGUUUUGGCGUGGUUACAUAAACGUGUGACAACGUAAUAUUUAGGGGAAAAGUAAUCCAUGCCUACCUUUGUUUCCUGUCCUGCUGUGAGCAUUUUGCAAGCCAGCAGGUGCGCUUGGACUGCUCCCCCAGUAGAGAGAGGUCCUGUAUGAAACCUGGCAGUACAUCCCAUAUGCCGUGAAUGUCUUCAAGUAGCAACGCAGGGAUGGCGACAACAAUGCUACUGAAAAGUUCUGCAGCAUGCAAACCACCGAACCCUGCAGCAAGAAGGCAGGAAAGUGGGAUAAGGCCCAUGUGACAGCUCCUCCUCUGCCCAGCUGCCAGGCACCAGGGCGAGCCUCUUCACCUGGACGGCUUUGAGAUGUUGCUGGAUUCAUACCUGCACAGAUACCAAAGUGCCCAGAAGAAACAGCUUCAUUCAGAUCAUUCACUUAAAACACUUUCUGAAUCCCAUUUGCGUGGGAAUGUCAAACUAAUUCGACUGUCCGGCAUUAAUCCACGUGGCUGUGAGGCUUGGGAUGUCCCACACAUCUGGGCUACAGGGCCUCAUGCACCAGGAGAUCUGUGCUCUCAAAGAAAUAAUCAAACAACAGGCUCCUCAUGACAGAGAGCUAACCUCUGAGCUUCUACCAAUCAACACACAAAAAAAUAAAUGCAUGAGAAUAAAGUUAUUUAGGAUAAGGGAAGCUAGUCCUUUGUUGGUUUGAUGUGUUACUUCAUGGGUGGCCAACCUUUUGGCUUGCCUGGGCCGCACUGAGUGAAGAGGAACUGUCUUGCUCUGCAGACACAUAAGCUGCUCCAAAAGUAAUGCCUCCUAUUUAUUUCCAUGGAAACUACAACAGAGACAAAGCACAAUAACACUGUUUGAUAGAGCAAAUUCUCAGCCACAAAACACUGUUUCUCAGCAUAGUCACCACCACUAGCCAUGCAUUUUCACCAGCAGUGAACAAGAACCCACACGCCGUGCUCAUAAGAAUCUAUACCAGUGGAGGUGACACCACCCACUGCUUGGUCUCCAGAAAUGGUCAGCAAGCACCAGUGCCACUGGCUGCCAUUUUCUUCUGCAUGGAAGAACCCAAU